rnacentral:rRNA from 1 species
CCUACGGGAGGCAGCAGUGAGGAAUAUUGGUCAAUGGGCGGAAGCCUGAACCAGCCAAGUAGCGUGCAGGAUGACGGCCCUACGGGUUGUAAACUGCUUUUAUACGGGAAUAACGCGCCUUACGUGUAGGGCUUUGCAUGUACCGUAUGAAUAAGGACCGGCAAAUUCCGUGCCAGCAGCCGCGGUAAUACGGAAGGUCCGGGCGUUAUCCGGAUUUAUGGGGUUUAAAGGGCGGUGGGGCGGGCGUUCAAGUCAGCUGUAAAAUCGCGCGGCUCAACCGGGCCCCGCAGUUGAAACGGGACGCGUUGAGUGCACAACAGGCAGGCGGAAGUCGUGGUGUAGCGGUGAAAUGCAUAGAUAUCACGAGGAACCCCGAUGGCGAAGGCAGCCUGCCGGGGUGCGACUGACGCUGAGGCUCGAAGGUGCGGGUAUCAAACAGGAUUAGAUACCCGAGUAGUC